UGUACUUUCUGCAAACCACAGACUGGGUGCUGAGCUGGUACUCUAGACUACGUUCUGAUCUUGGCCACAGCACCCAAACAGUCAUGUAGUGGAAGCACCACUUUCUUCAAGAGGGGAUGGUGUAUUAAGGUGGCAGGAUAAUGCAAUUCAUCCCAAUUCAUAGCACAAGUCCUGAAUAAGGGAAGAAGGAAGGAGCAUUAUCUCACCCAGGAAGAAGGAAGUGUUUGAACCAGACAGACUGCUACAACCACAAUUGGAAAGGGCACUGGGCUGCAAGCCAGAAACCUGGUUCCAGGGCCAGCUCUGCCAUUAGCUGACUGUGAGGCCAUAUGCAAAUCACUCAGCUUCUCUGAGCUGGAGGUUCUUUCUGUCUCAAAUGUAUCAAUGACAUAUGCCCCAUUCUUCUCCAGGUUGUUCUGACUACCAAAUGAGGAUGGAAAUUGGACAGCACUUUAAAAGUUACCAGUACUGGAGCAGUGGGAGAGGUUCUGGUGUAUAUGAUAUGCUAAAUGUGCACGAGACCGAACCCAUGCAGACACGGGCUUCCUUGGGCUGGAUAGCCCAGAGGAAGGAUCAAUGAAGUCCUUUGUUGGAGAGACUGAGAAAGCUUUAUGGGAAGGGGAAUGGUUUCAGCCAUGCAUAAAAAAGUAUAGAAAUAUAACAGGCCAAUAAAUGGAAGUUGCCACUGAGGCACAAAGACAUACUACACAUAAGAAGAACAAAGUUGGAGGUUUCAUGCAUCCUGAUUUCAAAACUCACUACAAAGCUACAGUAGUGAAAGCAGUGUGGUAGUGGCAUAAAGACAAUCAUAUAAACCAAUGGAAUAGAACAGAGAGCCCAGAAAUAAAGUCUCACAGUUACAGUCAAAUGAUUCUUGACAAGAGUGUGAAGACCACUCAGUGGAAAAAUGACAGCAUUUUCAACAAAUGAUGCUGAGAAAAUGGAAUAUUCCUAUGCCAAAGAAAGAAGUUGGACCCUUACAUUGCACCAUAUAUGAAAAUUAACUCAAGAUGGAUUGAAGACUUAAAUGCAAGAGCUAAGAAAAUAAAGCUCUUAGAAGAAAACAUAGGGUAAAAUCUUCAUGUUGUUGGACUUGGAGAUAAUUUCUUGGUGAUGAUGCCAAAAUCACAGGCAAUAAAGGAAAAAAUAAAUAAACUGAACUUCGUCAAAAUUAAAAACUUCUGAGCAUCAAAGGACACUAUCAACAGAGUGAAAAGGCAACCGAUGGAAUGGGAGAAAAUAUUUACAAAUCAUACAUCUGAUAAGGGAUUAGUACCUAUAAUAUAUGAAGAAUUCCAGUAAAUCAACACAAAUGAAACUAACAAUCCUACUCAAAAAUAAGCAAAGGAGUUGAAUAGACAAUUCUCCAAAGAAGUUAUACAGGUGGCCAAAAUGCAUAUGAAAAGAUGUUCAACACCACUAAUCAUUUAUCAUUGUGAUACAAUAUCACUUUGUACCCAUUUGGAUGACUAUUAUCAAUAAAACAGAAAAUAACAAGUGUUGGUGAGGAUGUGGAGACAGUGGAAACCUUGUGCAUCACGGGUAGAAAUAUAGGAUGGUGCAGCCUGCAUGGAAAACAGUAUGGUAGUUCCUCAAAAGAUUAAAAAUAGAGUUACUAUGACCUAGCAAUUUCACUUUUGGGCAUAUAUCCAAAAGAAUUGAAAACAGAGAUUCAAAGAAAUAUUUGUACACCCAUGUUCAUAACAGCAUUAAUUUUAAUGGCCAAAAGAUGCAAACAACCCAAAUGUCCAUCAACAAAUGAAGGGAUAAACAAAAUGUAGUCAAAACAUUUAAUGGAAUAUCAUUCAGCCUUAUAAGGAAUUCAGGGCUGACACAUACUACAACAGAGAUGAACCUUGACAUUAUGCUGAAUGAAAGAGAAUUUUUGAGUGGCAAGAAACAAAUACAUAAGAAAAGAAAUAGAGAGUUUACUAGAUUAAAAGCUCACAUUGAAACCCUCACCUCUCAUAAGCAACAGUCCUUGAUCAUUGAUGCCCAGUCUUGCUGCCUUUUUUCCUUAG
rnacentral:lncRNA from 10 species